GCGUAAGUCUUGGGGCUUUGGUGAUGACAGUGUCGUGAGUGUGGGUGAGGAUGAUUUUGGCUGGGAUGUAGAUAGGGAACAAAGGCAAAGAUGAAUGGGGUGAGCUAUGAUAGAAGAACAAUCUUGAAUAAACUAGCACGAGAUCUGUGAUUUGGUCUGCUAACUCUGUUUUAUGUAGGUGAAAAAAUGGUUCUGAGAUUUAAGGUAGUUGGAACAGAUAUUGUUAUUCAAAUUAAGGGAGAUCCACGGUUUGCUCUUUCAAUCUUGGUUUUCUGAUUGGGUGUUCUUCAUUGGCUUGAAUUUGGUUUGAUGAAGAAUUUGGUUCUGAUGGUGAGCAUUGGAGCUAAUGGAGAGUGGUUUUUGUUAAUUCGAAAAUAAAA
rnacentral:lncRNA from 1 species